GCCCUAAUAGCUCAAUUGGUAGAGCAACUGAUUUGUAAUCAGUAGGUUUGCGGUUCAAGUCCGUAUUAGGGCACCA
rnacentral:tRNA from 5 species